rnacentral:rRNA from 1 species
UACGGGGGGGGCAAGCGUUGCUCGGAAUUACUGGGCGUAAAGGGCUCGUAGGCGGCCAACUAAGUCAGACGUGAAAUCCCUCGGCUUAACCGGGGAACUGCGUCUGAUACUGGAUGGCUUGAAUCCGGGAGAGGGAUGCGGAAUUCCAGGUGUAGCGGUGAAAUGCGCAGAUAUCAGGAGGAACACCGGUGGCGAAGGCGGAUCUCUGGGCCAUUACUGACGCUGAGGAGCGAAAGCGUGGGGAGCGAACAGG